rnacentral:tRNA from 1 species
AUUUAAAUAGUUUAUAAAAAUAAUAGUUUGUGGGACUAUAGAUGUAAUUUUUUACUUUAAAUA